rnacentral:rRNA from 1 species
CCCAGGAGCCCCAAGUGGCAACCACCUUUAUUGGGCCUAAAGCGUCCGUAGCCUGUUCUGUAAAUUUUCUGUGAAAUCGUUGCGCUUAACGUAACGGCGAGCAGAAAACACUGCAAGACUAGGGACCGGGAGGAGUUAGGGGUAUUUCAGGGGGAGCGGUAAAAUGCUAUAAUCCCAGGAGGACCACCUGUGGCGAAGGCGCCUAACCAGAACGGAUCCGACGGUGAGGGACGAAAGCUAGGGGAGCAAUCCGG